UGGGGAAUAUUGGACAAUGGGCGCAAGCCUGAUCCAGCCAUGCCGCGUGAGUGAUGAAGGCCUUAGGGUUGUAAAGCUCUUUCGGCGGGGAAGAUAAUGACGGUACCCGCAGAAGAAGCCCCGGCUAACUUCGUGCCAGCAGCCGCGGUAAUACGAAGGGGGCUAGCGUUGCUCGGAAUCACUGGGCGUAAAGCGCACGUAGGCGGCUUACUAAGUCAGGGGUGAAAUGUGGCGGCUCAACCGUUUCGCUGCCGCUGAUACUGUAGGGCUUGGAUGCGGUGGAGGCGGGUGGAAUUCGUGGUGUAGCGGUGAAAUGCAGAGAUAUCAAGAGGAACGCCGAUAGCGAAGGCAGCUCGCCGGGCCGCGAUCGACGCUGAGGCACGAAAGCGUGGGGAUCAAACA
rnacentral:rRNA from 1 species